UCCCAGCCUGACGGGUAGCUGGUUAUCUGAUGAGUGCUCGUGGAAGAGAUGAUUAUCUAAUUUCUCAAUCAUGGCUGGGAAGUCACCAGGACACUUUUUGUGAAGGACAUCUAGCCAGCUCUGCUCACCUUGUGAAGCAUUGUCCCAGCACACGCCAGACACCACUGUUCCCAGAGAAGAAUGUGCCCAAAACAGAAGAGCUGGUCACUUGGGAAGAAUUGCCUUUUGUAGUAGCUGACAGAGCCCAUUUGUGUCCCAAGGCUCAAGCUCCAUCAUCUUCUGCCCCAU